AGACCAUGAUGAGGACAAUGUCGAAGCAAUUCUUUGUAUCUUUCCCAUGCUUAAUACAACAAUUUCGAAUCUUGCUGCAUGAACAAUGUGAUGUCAUUCCGCAUUUU
rnacentral:snoRNA from 1 species